rnacentral:rRNA from 1 species
AGCAGCCGCGGUAAUUCCAGCUCCAAUAGCGUAUAUUAAAGUUGUUGCAGUUAAAAAGCUCGUAGUUGAAUUUCGGGAUCAAAUUAUCGGUCGUGCCUCGGUACGUACUGGUAUUAUUGGUUCCUACCUUCUGAAGAACCGCGAUGUCAUUAAUUUGGUGUCGUGGGGAAUCAGGACUGUUACUUUGAAAAAAUUAGAGUGUUUAAAGCAGGCUUACGCUUGAAUACAUUAGCAUGGAAUAAUGAAAUAGGACGUUUGAUUCUAUUUUGUUGGUUUCUAGGAUUGACGUAAUGAUUAAUAGGGAUAGUUGGGGGCAUUAGUAUUCAAUUGUCAGAGGUGAAAUUCUUGGGUUUAUUGAAGACUAACUACUGCGAAAGCAUUUGCCAAGGAUGUUUUCAUUAAUCAAGAACGAAAGUUAGGGGAUCGAAGACGAUCAGAUACCGUCGUAGU